UACGUAGGGGGCAAGCGUUGUCCGGAUUUAUUGGGCGUAAAGCGCGUGUAGGCGGCUAGGUAGGUCCGUUGUGAAAACUCGAGGCUCAACCUCGAGACGUCGGUGGAAACCAUCUAGCUAGAGUCCGGAAGAGGAGAGUGGAAUUCCUGGUGUAGCGGUGAAAUGCGCAGAUAUCAGGAAGAACACCCGUGGCGAAGGCGGCUCUCUGGUACGUGACUGACGCUGAGACGCGAAAGCGUGGGGAGCGAACAGG
rnacentral:rRNA from 1 species